UACGUAGGGUGCAAGCGUUAAUCGGAAUUACUGGGCGUAAAGCGCACGCAGGCGGUCUUUUAAGUUUGGAGUGACAGUUGGUGGCUUAACUGCCAAAGUGCUUCGAAAACUGAAAGACUUGAGGGCUUCAGAGGGACACGGAAUUCCGGGUGGAGUGGUGAAAUGCGUAGAGACCCGGAGGAACACCAGUGGCGAAGGCGGCUUCCUGGUCUGCGACUGACGCUGUGGCGCGAAAGCUAGGGGAGCAAACGGG
rnacentral:rRNA from 1 species